rnacentral:rRNA from 1 species
CCAGCACCCCGAGUGGUCGGGACGAUUAUUGGGCCUAAAGCAUCCGUAGCCGGCCUUACAAGUCCUCCGUUAAAUCCAGCUGCUUAACAGAUGGGCCGCGGAGGAUACUAUAAGACUAGGAGGCAGGAGAGGCAAGCGGUACUCAGUGGGUAGGGGUAAAAUCCGUUGAUCCAUUGAAGACCACCAGUGGCGAAGGCGGCUUGCCAGAAUGCGCUCGACGGUGAGGGAUGAAAGCUGGGGGAGCAAACCGGAUUAGAUACCCGGGUAGUCCCAGCUGUAAACGAUGCAGACUCGGUGAUGGACCAGCUUAAUGCUAGUCCAGUGCCGCAGGGAAGCCGUUAAGUCUGCCGCCUGGGUAGUACGGUCGCAAGACUG